rnacentral:sRNA from 1 species
GCCGGGCGCGGAAUUGCACGCCUGUAAUCCCAGUGGCUUGGAAGGCUGAGGCAGGAGGAUCCCAAGUUCAAAGCCAGCUUCAGCAACUGAGGCCUUAAGUAACUCAGUGAGAACCUGUCUCAA